AGAUGGAGCUCUGAGCAAGAUGGAGCUCAGAGCAGAUGGAGCUCUGAGCAAGAUGGAGCUUGGAGCUGAUGUUCCUCUGUGUAAGAUGGAGCUAAGGGCUAGAUGGAGCUUGGAGUGAAAGGAGCUCAGAGCAGACGGUGCUCAGAGCAAGAUGGAGCUUAGAGUGAUUGGAGCACUGAGCAAGAUGGAGCUUGGAGCAGAUGGAGCUUGGAGCAAGAUGGAGUUAGGAGCAGAUGGAGCUCUGAGCAAGAUGGAGCUCGGAGCAGAUGGAGCUCCGAGCAGAUUAAGCUCAGAAAAGAAGGAGCUCUAAGCAAGAUGGAACU